rnacentral:rRNA from 1 species
AGGACUUUCCCCUUCGGGGGACAGAGUGACAGGUGGUGCAUGGUUGUCGUCAGCUCGUGUCGUGAGAUGUUGGGUUAAGUCCCGCAACGAGCGCAACCCUUGUCCUUAGUUGCCAGCAUUCAGUUGGGCACUCUAAGGAGACUGCCGGUGACAAACCGGAGGAAGGUGGGGAUGACGUCAAAUCAUCAUGCCCCUUAUGACCUGGGCUACACACGUGCUACAAUGGAUGGUACAAAGGGCUGCGAGACCGCGAGGUUUAGCCAAUCCCAUAAAACCAUUCUCAGUUCGGAUUGUAGGCUGCAACUCGCCUACAUGAAGCCGGAAUCGCUAGUAAUCGCGGAUCAGAAUGCCGCGGUGAAUACGUUCCCGGGUCUUGUACACACCGA